CGGGACGGGUGAGUAAUGUCUGGGAAACUGCCUGAUGGAGGGGAUAACUACUGGAAACGGUAGCUAAUACCGCAUAACGCCGCAAGACCAAAGAGGGGGACCUUCGGGCCUCUUGCCAUCGGAUGUGCCCAGAUGGGAUUAGCUAGUAGGUGGGGUAACGGCUCACCUAGGCGACGAUCCCUAGCUGGUCUGAGAGGAUGACCAGCCACACUGGAACUGAGACACGGUCCAG
rnacentral:rRNA from 1 species